CAGGCAGUAGUUAGUCUUUCUCCUCAAAUCUCUGUCACCGGGCGCCCGUUGUCUUUCAAAGUAAACAUUUGAAGCAGCCAAGCGGAGGUCCCGGCUGUCAACUCAUAUAGAAUGAGUUUUGUACAAACUCAGUGAACAGGAGUUUGUAGAUGUGUGGC